UUAAUUACAAUAAAUAUACCUAGACUCGGUCACUAGUUUCACUGAAAUUUUAUAAUCAUUAUAACUUAUAACACUCUAGUAUAAUUAUUUUGCGUAUAUAUUUUUAGUUAAAAAAAUUUGUAUAUUUAAAUUUCUAUUGGUCGAGCCGUCUGCGUGAUGUUUUUGAUGUUUUCUGUGUCAGUCGUGUUAUUAAUGUUACUUGGACGAACAGCUGAGUUUCAAUUUUGUACAUACUCUCUACUCUGUUUAGUAUCUAAUGCCACUAAAAGUAUCUGUUCGAUCCAUUUUAUCUUAUAUAAAUGAUUUUAUUAAUCAGAUAAGAGCUUUUUCUCGUUUUUUUAUAUUGUAUUAAAGAUAAGUCGGGCGAUGGACUCAUCAUCCAAACAUCACGACGGGCGUGUCAAUAUGUACGAAAUAAAGAAUUACAAACUAAAUUAAAAUGUGUUACGUCUUUUUAUCUUAUUAUAUAAUAGAACAAGGAAAAAAACGGUUUUCUAAAAAAAUUACUUGGCGUGUUCGGAUUUUCAAAAUUUUUUUUUUCAACUUAAGUACUCGGUCACCAGACUCCAGGAAAAUUAUUGGCGAAGGUCGGAAAAUUUUUGCGUUUUAAAAUUUUGACCGUUUUUGAGAAAAACGCUCACUGACGUUAGCGUUUUACGACCUAAGGUUUGAAAUUUUCAUCAGACCCGACCAAUGACAUUCCUGAGAUAUUCCUUUCAUUUCAACGGAUUGAAUUUCUUUUUUUUUUUUAAGUUUGCUCGCAUAAUUUUAAUAUGCGCACUGAUUCAUUUAUGCUCAUACGUUUAUAAUGAACCUUAAUUAUAUGGUGUAAUAUGCAUAUUUAUUAGGAUACUAAUUUGCAUUUGCACAUAGCACUAUAUUUUAUCGAGGAAUAUUAUAUGUUAUAUAUAAAUUUCAAGACGGUUAUAAUUAUAUAAGUUUGUACUUUUAUUAUCAGAACAGUACAUUAUUAAUAAAAAAUUUUUCUCAUAUAUGAUGUAUGAGUCUAUGAGUUUAUUGUUAAAAUGGGGAUUCAUCUAUAACUACUAUGCUGCCCAACCUUAAAUGGCAGUUACUAAUAUUUUUAUCAAAAUUAAAUAUUUUACAUAGUCCCACGUAUAAUACACCUGCUGAUUUUUUUAAAAUUAUUCUAUAAUAUUAAUAAUAACAAUAAUAUAUAACACAAUUAUUAUAAUUAGAAUAUUAAUAAUUUUUGUGUAUACCAGUGGUGUAUUUAAGGGAAAUAUGGACCCCUUUGAACCAGCACUGUCAAUAUUAUUUUAGGCAACUUCUAAUAAAUAAGGAUCUAAUGUCCUUUUUUUUCAUCAUUACUUUAAUUUUUAGCAAAAAAAAUUCUAUAACAUGUUUAACAAAGUAAAAAAUAUUAAACACCCUCCUAAAAUAAUUUUUGAAUAGGCCUAAAGGGAAUACUUCAUUAAUAAGCGUCAACCUUAUUCCCAAUACAUUUUACUAUUUUCUAUUUUUGAAUUUUCCUGAUUUUAAUUAUAAAACUUUUAAUAUAUUUUGUUACACUGAUUCUGAUGUAAUAUUUUUUCUGCAAAACACUUAUCGUGCCCGGCGUAGCGGGUACCCCUACCGGAAUCAGUCGCCUACUUAUGAUGAUGGCCUAGUAGGGCUCCGGGUCUGGGACGGAGCCCCAGCUAGGUGGAGCCUAGUUUAUUAAACUAGAAUUAGUACGAAUCUAGUUGUAUUGAUUUCGGGCCAUAUUGUUCUUUUUAUUAAUAUGAUAAGUUUUUUUUGUUUUAUGUCUGUCGCCACUUUUUCUUAGCUCUCACUGUGCUGAUUUCUUUCGUCAAUUGCCCUUGAAAAUUGAAAAAAAUUCUUUUAUUUCCUUUGACAGGGGAAAUUACCUAUAAAAUAUGAAUUUAAAUGUGGGUAAAUUUCCAAUUUUUUUUCUUAAAGGUAUUAUAACAUUAUGAAAAAAACAUAACCAAAACUAACUUUUUUUUAUAAAUACUUUUUUUUUUUUUUGAUAUAUAUAUAUUUUAAUGCUACUCUUUUCCUACGUACGGGGGGAAUUCAAAAUAGCAACUUUUGCACGAAAAUUGAACCUUUUCAACUUUACUGUUGAAAUAUUCUUAGCUUCAAAAGUAAAUUAAAUUAAAAUUUAUGUACUAAAAGUUUUAAAAAAAUGUUCUAACUACUUAUUAUUACUCAAACUUUUUAAUAGAUGUACGGACUAAUACAAUUUUUGUCUAAAGUACUUUAUAAAUUUUCCUUUCUUUGAACAUAUUUCUUUUUAAUCAGCUCAUUUUUUUUUUUUAUUCAAUAGGGGUUUGGUUGGAUUGUUUUGAAAAUUUAUAAAAAUGAAAUAUCAGCCCAUAAAAUUAUAUUAUACUCGAAAAUUUCAUUUUCAAAAUUAUGUAACUUACUUUUUUCUUAAAUAAACAAUUAAUUUAAAAAUGCAUACUUCGUCCAAAAGAAAAAAGUUAUAAAAAACGACAAUUUUUAAAUUUUGAAAAAAACAAAAUUGUACUUAUCAUAGCAAUUUUUUAGUUGUAAAUAAUAAACAAUAUAAAUAUAAAAGACACUAUGAUUACAUAUAACUAAUAAAUAACCCAAAAUAUUUAGUAGAUCUAAAGUUAUUAGAUUUGUCAAAACAUUGUAGACCACUAUACUAUAUUUUUAGAUUUUUUGAGGAACGAAACGGUAUUUCUUUGUGCUAUACUAUUAAUUUGACAGGCAGAUUAAUAUUCCAUAUUAACGAAAUUUUUUUGGUAUUCUUUAGUAAAUUAUUUUGAUUUGGUAUUAAUUUUCCAAUUGGUGUAUGAUAUAUUCGUAAACUAUGAAUUAUCUUUAAAAAACGCAUUUUCUAUGUAUGAUCCUUCAAAUAUUGGCAUCGUUACUAUAAUGGCUGCAUCACAAGCUACAUCGAAAAACAAAUUGUUUGGAAAAAAAUUAUAAAAAAAUUCAAUUAGUAAUAUUCUAAACCAGUAUAAGCCCGAGGAAAAUAAACUCAAUUACCAAGAAAUUGUAGAUAAAAUUACAAAGGAAUUUGGCUAUCGAUUUUGAUAAUUCGUCAAAAUAAAAUGGAUUGGUUUUAUAAUUUUACAUGUCUGAAAUUAUUUUUGAAUGAUUUGUAAAAAUUAAUAAAAUAUUAUUUACAAUAAUAUUAUGUUACAUAUUAUUACAAAAAAGUAUAAUGUAUGUAUUGACAUAUACAUAUAUGAUCCAAUUAAUAUUUUAUACUAAUUUCAUAUUUAAAUAAUUUUUAUACUUUUGGACUAUUUAAACAACAUAACAUAUCACAGUUUAUUAAAUUUAUAAACAAAUUUUUUUAAUUUUAAAUUUACGAAAACUAUAAAUAAAAAUUACAAAAUAGUUAUUUUGAUUAGUGAGUUUUAAGAAAAAUUGAUAAAAAAUAUCUUAUUAAUUUUAGUAGUAAAUUACCUGAAGAAUUUUAAAGUUUGAGAAAACUUGAAAUAUUUAGUUAUUUACAAAAUCAAAAUAUUACAUAUGAACUGAGAAAAUUAUAAAAGGAAACGGAAUUUUUUGAUGCUAAAUGUUAAUCAUAAGUAUGUAACUUUAUCCGUCGGAGUUAUUUACGCUUGAAUGAUUUACACAUAAUUUACUAUUUAACAUUAAAAAAAUAUUUUAUUCUCAAAAUCUACUUUACAAAAUUGCUAUCUUGAAAUUUUUAAAUAUUGCUAAUAAAUUUCAAAAAAAUAUGGUACGAUGUAUUUAUUUGUAUAGUCAAAAGUAUAACAAUGCCUUACAAUUAAAUUAAUGUAAAAUACUAAUUGGAUCCAAAGUAAAUGAAUUUAUCAUAUUUUUGUGAUUCACCUGUAUAUUAUAAAAAUCAAUUACCCUAUGCAUUAUAAUUUAUUUAAUUAUACAAAAGUAUAAUAAUUUUUUUUACUUAUUAUAAUUAAAAAUCCAACUUGCCACCAAAUAAAAUACAAAAGAUGGGAAUAGUAAUAAAUCGGCGCGUAUACUCUACGAGGAGUGUAUUCAUGUAUAGAUAAGUUUAAAACCAAACCCAACCCAACUUAUCUAUACAGUGGCGUAAAUAACUCCCCCGCAAUGCGGGGAGCGCCAAAUUACAAAUGCUCAAUACCGCUUUUACGAGCGGAAUGACCAGACAAAGGAAAUUCCCUAUAUUAGUUCAUAGGAAGUCAAACGACUAUUUACCUUUUUACCUUUUAAGUUAAUUUAUUUAACUGCAUGAAAAUAUUAGGUAUAAUUUCUCUUGUGUACAUUGAAUAUGUAUAUUGAUCGUACUAUUUAAACUUUAAAUAGGUUAUAAUACCUCGUAUGUGGGUAUAGGAUAAUAUAAUUAAUAGUAGUAACAGAAUAGGAAUUACAUUGCUGAAUAUCAGCUGUUAAUAAUAUUAAACUUCACAGCGCAUCCUCACUUACCUUAGACAUAAGGGAAACGAACAUUAAUUUUGCGCAGGACAAUUAAAAACGUCUUUUGUAAAAUUUGAAAAAUAUUUAAGUAGCGGAAAAGUCUCAAUAGAGCAAAUACCAUUUCGGAUAGAAAAUAUAGAGACUGCUUGGUCAGAGUUCGAAGUGAUUCAAGGAGCUAUAGAGCUUGAAGAAAAGGUUAACAUGGAGGAACAAGAGAUAUAUAGAUAGGAAUGCGAAGAAUUAUUUUUUAGAACAUUAGCCAAAGCAAAUAAAUUAAUUGGUAGAGUAAGUUCGUCAAAGGUCGAAAAUAGAGAAAUGAGAGAAAAUCAAUGUAUUUGUUAGCAAAGUUCUGGUGGUCAGAGAAAUAAAUUUAUUCCUCGCGUUAAGUUAGCUCCUAUGAGUAUUCUAGUAUUUACUGGCGAAUACAGUGAAUGGAAACCUUUUUAUGAUUUAUUUUCUAAGCUUAUACAUGUGAAUGCGGAUUUAUCGGAUAUUCAGAAAUUUUGCUAUUUGCGCUCAUCUUUAUCGAGAGAGGCAACAAAUAUUAUUAAAAAUGUAGAAACAACAGCGAAUAAUUAUGAAAACGCGCAGAAAAUAUUAAGUGAGAGGUAUGAAAAUAAUAAGUUAUUAAUUAGAAUCCAUGUGAAAGAGAUUUUUGAGCUAGGAAUGGUACAUCAGGAUUCUGCUGUUAAACUAAGAGAAUUUUUGGAUUCUUUAGUUUGUCGUAUCAGUGCAUUAAAAAUGUUAGAAGAAAAACCUGAAGAAUGGGGGCCGAUUUUAAUGUAUUUAACUUCUAUUAAACUUGAUAGGAAUACGCUAAGUAGAUGAGAAGCAGAAUUACCCCAAGAUAGAAUAGCACGCGUAUCCAAAUUUAUUGCAUUUUUGGAAAAUAGAGUAAAAGUAUUAAAAGCGGUAGGAGCGUCCAAAAAUAUUUUUUCGCGCGGUAACCAACAAUAUGGUAACCAAAAUAUGUUUUUCUAUUGAAAUAAGUAUAGAUCAGCUGUAAUAACAACUACACAAGGAUUAAAAUGUUAUGUUUGUGAUUUGCCACAUACAAUAUACCGUUGUCCACAGUUUAUUUCAUUAUCAAUUGCGGAUAGAAUUAAAAAGGCAGCGGCGCUCAAACUAUGUAAAAUUUGUUUGAGACGGCAUAGUGAAAAAUGUACUGCGCCUUAUUGUUUAAAGUGUUCAAAACCACACAGAGUACUGUUGCAUUUCAAUACAACUCUAAAUCAAGGAAUAAAAGUAGAUAAUAAUACUACAAACGAUAAUUCAAUAGUCUCAGAUAACGUAUCAACGAGCGCCAUUGCAGCGGCUUAAUUACACGAACAAGUGUUGUUGUCAACAGUAGAAGCUUAUACAGGUAAUGUUAAAGGUGGAAAAGAAAAAUGUAGAAUUUUGCUGGAUUAUGGUUUACAGUGUAACUUUAUAAGUGAAUACAUGGUACAAUUAUUGUGGUUGCGUAAAUCGAGAGUACACCACAGUGUCAUUGGCAUAGGAGAUACUAAAAAAAAUAUUACCUCAGUGGUUAUUGCAGUAAUUACAUCGCGCAUUAAUUUAUUCAAAAUAGAAGUACAAUUUUUGGUCGUUCCGAAGAUAACAGGAUUUAUUCCGUCGAAUGAUGUAAAAAGUAAAUGUUUUAUUCCGGAAGGUAUUCAAUUAGCGGAUCCGUCUUUCACGGUACCGCAAAAAAUAGACUUAUCUAAUUAUUUUUCCAUAGAAAUUAGUUGUUUGAUAAAUGGUAAAGAGGUGUCAAAGAAAAGUAAAUUGUUAUGAUUAAGACCGGUUUUAGACGAUAAACAUUUUAUUAGAAUUGGUGGUAGGCUGAAAAAUGCAUUGUCUAUUGAUGAAUGUCAACGUCAUCCUUUAGUGUUACCGAGUGAUAAGUGUAAAUACACGCGUUUGUUAUUUCUACGUGAACAUUGACUGCUCUUUCCCCGAUCCUUCUAAUCCUUUACGCCAGCACAUUUUUUAAUCGGAGAGUCGUUUAUGUCCGAAGUUGGAAGUUGGGUCGCCUACUAGCGGUACAGUAUGGUAAAGAUGGUAUUAUACGUUCUGCGACAAUUAAGACUACAAACAGUGAAACCAAUUAUUAGCGGUACGACAAUUAUGUCCGUUACCUUUUAAAGGCAAUCAAACGAUGAGUUAAAUUGCUUCGAUGAUUCAUUCUGUUGAAAUUAAAUAUUUUUUGAUUAUUUAUUUGUUUAUUUAUUUAUAUUUAUUGUGUAGAUAAAUUAUUAGAGUCCAAAUGUGUGUUUGUUCGAUAAUUAUUGUCGAAUACAAAUUGUUAAAUCUAUUUGAUAAGUUUUAUUUGUAGUAUUUUUUUUCUGUUUAUUUGAUUUGUUUAAUAAUCUUUAAUUUUAAACAGUGUUUUAAGGAUCCCGCUAUGUUAGAUCCGACUAUCGUAAUCAAUAACAUGUACGUGGACGAUCGUUGAUCACCACUAAAAUUAAGUUUUAAUUUAGGCGACGUGCCUUCUUAUCGUAUAGUUGUAGCUUAAACGAAUAAAAAUUGAUUUACUAAU